UUAAUUGAAGCCAAAUAGAGGCAUAUUAAUGUUAAUAAUAUCAUUGAAAAAAUUUCCAAUUAAA
rnacentral:tRNA from 1 species